rnacentral:rRNA from 1 species
CCUACGGGAGGCAGCAGUGGGGAAUAUUGGACAAUGGGCUAAAGCCUGAUCCAGCCAUGCCGCGUGUGUGAAGAAGGCCUUCGGGUUGUAAAGCACUUUCAGUGGGGAAGAAAGCCUUGGGGCUAAUACCCUCGAGGAAGGACAUCACCCACAGAAGAAGCACCGGCUAACUCCGUGCCAGCAGCCGCGGUAAUACGGAGGGUGCGAGCGUUAAUCGGAAUUACUGGGCGUAAAGCGCGCGUAGGCGGUCUGAUAAGCCGGUUGUGAAAGCCCCGGGCUCAACCUGGGAACGGCAUCCGGAACUGUCAGGCUAGAGUGCAGGAGAGGAAGGUAGAAUUCCCGGUGUAGCGGUGAAAUGCGUAGAGAUCGGGAGGAAUACCAGUGGCGAAGGCGGCCUUCUGGACUGACACUGACGCUGAGGUGCGAAAGCGUGGGUAGCAAACAGGAUUAGAUACCCCAGUAGUC